rnacentral:rRNA from 1 species
GGGUGCGAUCAUACCAAUGUUAAUGCACCAGAUCCCAUCAGAACUCCACAGUUAAGCGUGCUUGGGCUAGAGUAGUACUGGGAUGGGUGACCUCCCAGGAAGUCCUAGUGUUGCACCCU